rnacentral:rRNA from 1 species
GUUUGAUCCUGGCUCAGAUUGAACGCUGGCGGAAUGCUUUACACAUGCAAGUCGAGCGGCAGCGCGGGGCAACCUGGCGGCGAGCGGCGAACGGGUGAGUAAUACAUCGGAACGUGCCCAGACGUGGGGGAUAACUACUCGAAAGAGUGGCUAAUACCGCAUACGAUCUACGGAUGAAAGCGGGGGAUCGCAAGACCUCGCGCGUCUGGAGCGGCUGAUGGCAGAUUAGGUAGUUGGUGGGGAUAAAAGCCUACCAAGCCAACGAUCUGUAGCUGGUCUGAGAGGAUGAUCAGCCACACUGGGACUGAGACACGGCCCAGACUCCUACGGAGGCAGCAGUGGGGAAUUUUGGACAAUGGGCGAAAGCCUGAUCCAGCCAUUCCGCGUGCAGGAUGAAGGCCUCGGUUGUAACUGCUUUGUUACAGAACGAAAAAAGCUCUGGCUAAUACCUGGAGUCCAUGACGG